GGGGAUGAUGGUGGUGAGGAUGAGGGCAUCCCCGCGCAUGGCGGCCAGGACUGCCUCCCGCCGCGGGGCCGCCGAGCCACAGACCCAGCGGCCGUCGGGCUAGCUGGGUGCCCCGCGCCGUGAGUGCGCGGGGAGCGGCAGCGCCGACGACCUCGGCCGGGAGCUGCCGCUGCCCCCCGCUGCUCGGUAGUGAGCGAGCGGGCGGUUCAGGUCCUCCUGAUGCGGCGGGCCCAUGGGCAGCCGGCGCCGGGCAGCCGCGGCUGAGUGGUGGGUCGUGAUUGGCGUCUGUGGCUUAGGCGAGAGCAGACCUUAUCGCGUGUUCAGGUCAAACCUGGAUAAACUUUGAUAUACUGAAGAAAUUGCUCAGUAUUAACAAUCAGGCUGAAGACACCAGGACUUGCAUGUGGAGGAAGAUUUAAAUUCUUUCCAGUCAAUGGAUGUAAAACUGUUUAGAAUUUAUAUUCUAAACAACACAGGGGCUAAAAACCUGCAAGCUACAGAUCUGCUGGCUGGCUGACUACUUUGCAAAAGGCACUUCAGAACAAGCAGAAAGCAUAUUCAGAAUGGAAGAAGGACUGAUUGGCAAAGAAAUGCUUGUUUAAGAGGUCAAAAAGUGCAGGGGCAAGAACGGAUUUGAGAAGUAUAUUAAAAUAAUAAAAGGUUCUUCAGCAAUACAAGUAAAAAGAGAACAGAAAUACCUAGGGUUCUGUACAGUAGGAAGAAAAUGAGAGCUUUGGCAUGAUGCCUUUGAUAGCAUAAGGAAUUUUUUUACUUUCCAAAACAGGACUGUGAUAUAAACUAGCAGGGCAAAGCUAGAAGGGAAUGCAAAGAAAAUGGUUAUAGGUACUUUCCACCAGUUUUGAUAGAAAUGCCAUAUGAGCUUGCAAAUUCGAUACCAUGUAUUUUUAACAAAUCUUUUCAGUAAGAAGAGUUACUAUAUGGCUGGAGAAUAGAAAAAGUAGUAGUGAUAUUUUCAAUAGAGAAUAAAUGUAAUUCAGGCAAGUACAAACUUGCUGUUCUGUCUGCAUGUAAGAUAUUGGAACAAAUGGUGAAGGAAAGCUCAUUAGAGAGCUUUAAGGGGUAAAAGAAAAGUAGUGAAGAGGAGUAAAAGAAAAUUGGUGAAAUAUGACAAGAAAUGACCAGAAGUAGAUUUUGCAAGCAUAGACUGAUAAUGCAUUUUCCGGAGAAGUUCAAUACAGGAGGUCUUAACUACAUCAAAUAUGUGAAGCACUGGAUAACUGACUCAUAUGUAAAAUUUGACAAUUUAACAUAUUUAACAUAAAGUUGGAGAGGCCAGCCAUCAAAAGGCAAACUGAAAGCAAAUUAAAAGACCUAUCCAAGGCAGAUAGACAUGAGUAGUGAUGAAGAACAGCAGUUCUGGAGGAAGUUUUUAGCAGUAUUUCCAAGGGUCUGAUUUUUCUCUGAUAACUUCAUUAAUGAAUGGAACCAACAGUAGGUUAAAAUUUUCUGGUGAAAAAAAAGCCAAACAGAUGAGGAAUAGACUGGCAAGGACCUAGAACAGCCUUUCCAGGAAGGCAGAGUUCUGUGCUCUCUUUGGGACAAGAUAAAAUGUUUGCUGUAAUAGCAGUGUUUGGAUCUAAUGACAAAGAGGUCCCUUUCAGAUAUCUUUGCAUUCACCAGGAUGCUUCAGAUCCAGAAGCCUGUCUUCAACCUUUUAUUUUAAUUUGCAUUUCACAAACCACAUGCUAAACUGGCAUGGAUCUUACUUCCCGUUUGAAUGCAUAAGUAGUUUACAUGUUCUUUGAACAGUCUGCCCACAGUAUACAGCUGCUCUGGAGUCAGAAAGAGUGCUUAUGAAUCUGACUGGAUCCACUUGCCAGCUUUACAGUGCCAGUAAAGCCCGUAACAUAUGCAGUGGGACCCAACACUCAUACCAGAUCAGACUGAACAAGAAAAGAUUGGUUAGAUAUUUUUGCAAGGCAAAAAUUGGAGCAUAUAGCAAUAGUACUUACUCUUUAACAUUUCUGUGGAAUUCUUAGGCUAGAUAUAAAUGUACUCCCUGUUUUUACUUCCACAUUACCAAACUUUAUAUGUUAUGACUAUUUUAGUAAUAGAACCCACCUCUUCAGGUCUCCAAAAUGCUAAACUGUUCAGGUGGAAAAGGCCACUUUAAUUAGCACACCUAUGAGAUCUUUUCUUGAUUACUUCAGACUAUUGGCACAUAGAGUUUCAACUGAUUGUUUCGGGUGAAAUAAGAGCUCAGCUGAUCAUCAAGAAAGUAAGAAGGGAUCUUGCAUAUGUCACCAGGAAUCUUUUAGCUGGUGCCUUCUGUCUUCAGAGCACCAACAAAGAGUUGGUGGAGUCCAUAUUCAGUUCACAAUACAGCAGCUAGCAGAAACAAGUGAAAUCUGAUAUUCUGCAAACAAAAAGGUUAAUGUAGGUUGGUUCUUGCUUCUUUUUUACUUCAGGUUGAGUGUUAAAUUAUAACUGAGUUCAGGUCUGAGUAGAAUUACACAUAAGAACAUUUUCUUUAAGCAUGAUGUUUUUAACUUGAGCUGGUUGCAUUUCAGGAAAUUGUUGCACAAUCGUUCUGUUCUGCUGGAGGCAUAGUCAGUGGUAUGACCUCUUUCUUGUGUCGGCUCUUCAGUGAAAGCGUACCCUUAAAGUCUAUCUUUGCUGCAGAGUUAAUUUCAGUGAUAGGAAUUCACUUUUCAGAACUAAACGGAUUCUGCUCUACUUGUGGGCAGUGCAUUUAACAGAAAUGCUCCAUCGCUCUCUUAGGUUAUAAGCUUACAAUGCGGCCUUCAGAAACCUAGAUAGAAAGACUGCCUUGCUGCUGCCUGUGGCACAGAUUCUCUUACUGUAGCUUUUAAACUGCAUCAGUGGUCUUUUUGUCCUUGAUUAUAUAUUCAUACAUAAAAGUAAGUGUGGAAUAAGUGACUGCUUUAUAAAUGUGGUGUCCCAGAAUGUAGAGCUGCUAUCUGCAAAGAACAUUUAUUCAUUGAGGGCCUGGAAGGCCACUGUGUGAGCAGUAAUGUAAUCUGACUAUGACUGCAUGUAACCAAGGGCAGCCAUGCCACCAAGUCUUACAGCUGCUGACCUUGGGAAUGCUGUGUUUACAGCAAGACAUAGAAAGGCACCGGAAUAAGAACAGGUGGCCUUGAGUUGUGCGAACAGCCUACAGGGUUUUAAACAGUUCUGAUUUAUUCAGCGUGACAGUCCCUGUAUAAUAAGGUUGGACUUCAAGACUGCAAAAUAGGAAGUUUCCACAUUUUUUUGUGAAUAUGAUAAGGAAAAUGGGUUAUAGCUUUUAGUGUAAGUGAUUGACAUUCACUCUGUCAUCACUUUGAAGGUUCCGAACAGCACCACUUGUGCACACAUCUUAUUUCCCCUGCUAUAUAAUGAUGUCUCAGCCAACAGUGCUCAGGCAGAGCUUCCCGUCUCUUGAACCUCAGUCAGUCCUUCUUUAUCAUUUGCUACUUUUUUUUAGUGGUCAUGUUCUUAAUCUCAGACUAAUAAGUACUACUGAAGUGACCUAUUGAUUUUUCUAGUUUUCUUGUUAUGUCUCUUUCCUUUUUUUUUUCUGGAUUUUUUCAAAUUUAGAUCCUGAUCCUUCGAUCAGACCAAUUAAUUCAGUGGAACUGUAAAACAGGCACACAAGUCCACCCACAAAAAUAGCAAGAAUCUUUCAAGCUUACGUAUGUCAUACUAUUACAGAGGUAAAUCACACAUCUCACUACAAUGUUCUUUUCUCUGGUCUUAAACAAGUUUAUUCUUGUCUCAAUAAAGCUGCCUGCUGUUGUAGUCAAGUAUUUAGCAACUACAGCUUACACUUUGGGUUAGUUAGUAUCUCAGGAAUAUUCAGUUGUAUUCCUACAAUAAAGUAAUAAAAGAUCUGGCUGAAUAUGAAUAACAGCCUAACUCGUUCCAUUUAUUACAACUAAAACAUUAGAAGUUGGGAGGUAAAAAUACACAAUGUAUAUAUACAAAACUUCGACAACUCUGCAAAAGCAUGUCCCUAUGAAACUUUUCUGCUAGAUAUUUCUUUCAGGGGAAGUGACCUGCAUUGACUUCUUGAUGAGGAUGUGACAGAACCAUACUGGCACAGACACUUCCAUCUUCAGUUCUAAAAAAGUGCUCUGUCAGUGUCUCUAAGUGCAGUUCUCAGUCCAGUCAUGAAGAUGUCUGACCUUUGCUUUCAGCAGUAAAGAAAUUCUUGCUAGAACAAAAAUUCUCUCUAGUUCUACACUUUUUGCUCUACAUUAAUUCCCAUUUACCCAUACCUUCAUAUCAAAGGGUUGAGUCAGAACUUCCUUUGAGGAGAUCCUUCACAUGUCCAGUCCUGGGCCUUUUUAGAUGGGCCUCCCUGAAUUUUCUUCUCCCUAUUUCCCAGCUGGUUCAUGGAUCUCUCUACCCCACAGCAGAGGAUACCUAUACUACCCACUUUCACUUACAAUAACACUGCUAUUCCUCACAUUUAUGGCUGCAGGCUGUAUUCUGUACUGACCUUUUAUCAGCCUCCCAGUAAAUGACCAGCUACAGGGCCUUGGAGACAUAAGAAAGAGCCAUUCUUCAUUUCUUGAUGAGCAACUGAGUUUAUACCUCACCUGAAACAGUUAGCUGAAACUCUUUGACUGUGCACAUAGCCUGAAACCAUCAAAAAGAGGUCUCACUGGUAUGUAAAGUGCCCUCUUUCCAGACAAAUUGUCAGAUACCCUUGGGAGUGCUUAUAAUUAUAGUAGCUAAUACACUUACACGUACUGAUGAUCUAUAAGGCAACCCAAUGAUUUUACGAAGUGUGAGAAGAUCAUAUUGGAUCAUCUCUAUCUUCCUUUAAAUCAAAAGUAUACAGUGAGCAUUUGCUGACUUGUGUCAUUUGUCAACAUGAUUUUAUCUUAAAGAAGGCAGAAAGUGAAAGAAACCAAAUGAUUUUCCAUGGUAUUUAUUUUUCAUUUUAUACAAAGUCCCUGUUACAUGGCAUCUUCUUUUAUCCUGUCUACUUUCUAUUCACUAGCAAUACUCUGUCACCACCUUUUAGCAUCACAUCAGUACUAACAGCACCAUUAGCAUCCUUAUUCAGCAAAACACAUAUGUUUCAAAGUUUCACGUGCCCCUGCAGCAAGAAUAGUUAGGGAAUGAUCUGGGAUAAAAAACAUCUAAUUUUUCUUGAAAUUCCAUCUAACAAUACUCUACUGUACAAUACUGCUGUUAUUGACGUUACAAUAAUAACAUGGAAAAUGUGUUUUGAACCUUAUAGGGGUUUUUUGUCUUGAUAAAUAGCACUAGGAGCUCUCUGUACCUGAUAAAGUGAUGGAAUCACAUUUAUGUUUGAUAUAGGAAAGGUAGAUGAAAGCAGGCAGGAAAAAAAUUAUGCAACUUAAGAGCAAAGCAAUCAGGUGCUCUAAAAAGAUGGCUUUUUUAUUUAAAAAAGCCAUGCACAUCUGCAAGCAAAAUGCAGGGAUAGAAAACGAGGAGAAUUUGAGCUGCGCCAUUUGAUCCAGCAGUAUUUUCUCCACCUACCUUCUUCAUCCAUCUUCUUUUUCUAUUUAACUUGACUGGGUGGGAGAAUAGCAAUAACAGGCAGUGAAGAAAGGUGGGCGCAGCAUUUUUGUUCCCUGGGAAAUCGGUAUCAGUCUUCUACAAAUCAGGAUGCUGUAGCUGUCUGGGCUCAUUCUGCAUGUCAAACUAAACUGCAGUGCAGUUUUCUUCCUCCAUUUGCUUAUUUUAAGCUCCAGCUAAUUACAACUGUUUAAUAGUCUUACUAAGAUCACCCUGCGGAAACGUUAGAAUAAUAGUCUUUUUCUUAGAAUCAUGACUACAAGGUAUUUUUAAGGUGAAUGUGGAAUCUCGAAUGCUGUGCAUGUGCCCAUAAUGCGUAUGGUUGUGUGGGUGUGCAUAUGUGUGAGUGCAUACCUAACCACACAAGCUGAUGGACAUCUCACAAAGAGAUCAAUAAAGGGCAUAUUUCCUAGCCGUGGGGUCAGGAACUGAAGGAUGACAAAAAUGAACAUCUUUGGCAUGAACAUAAAGGCUCCUGGAGAAUGAGACAGCUAUAUUCCAGUGCAUUGAUCCCUAUCCCUUUGUGGAAAAAAAUUUCUGGCUUGUUUACAAUACUCCCAAAUUUCAAUUAAUUAGCUCCCUUCACAACUGGUUUGUGCAGUUAAUUUCUCUAAGCUACCGGUUAUCUCUCCUUUUGCUAUGGAUUUAUAUUGUGCUUAGCAUAAUGCAUCACUUGUACCCAACUAUUUCUAUAAGUGAACACUGAAUAAGCUAAGGAACUGAGGAGCUAUUAACUGCUUUAAAGUAAAUGAGAUAGCAUCCGUCAUUGACAAGAGUGUUUACUAAGUCCUAUGGGAAGGGGUUUCUUUCUUCUCCAUUUUCUUUCCUUCACAUUUUCGCAACUCGAGAUUCAUGAACUGCUUAUUGAAUUUCAACCUGCAGUUCAUGAAUCACUUAGAUGCUGGCCUGAUUAAAUAAUAACAAGACCAUUUCCAUAGAAAUGGACUCAUUAUUAUGUUACUUUCAAAUUUUUUUUUUAGAUGGCAGUUAUAGAAAAAAGUCCUCAAAAAUACCUUUAUUUUUGGAUAGAGAUUUGAGGUUUGGAAGGAAGCAGUCCUUCUGCAUUGUACUUACAUUGUUUUGUGUAGGAGAUCCCUUGUUCUAAAUUGGGAUACUAAUUUGUGAUUUUUCUUGUCCAGGAUAAAUGUUAUUUGUUUGAUGAGUGCGGACCAUCAGAACAAACUGCUUCUGUUACAACCUAAAAUCCUAAAUUUUACUGUGUAUAUUUUUGGGGUGUAUGUUAGACCAAGACUGAAUGCCCAAUAACUGAAAAAGACUAAAAAAAUAUUUACAGCUGAAAUAAAAUAUUUGGGUAUUCCUAAGUUAAAAUGCUUAAUUUUCAAUCCUUGUGCUGUCACAAGGAGUUCAUUUUGAGCUACUGCAGCUCUGAACUGUGUUACAAAGGAGAGCACACUAGAACCAUUCAUUGGAAUUCGGUAGUCCUAGUCUGCCUUUAGACUAGAUUUCUUGACAGGUAUGUGUAUUCAUAAUUUCCUUAGAGUUAAGAGGUACCAUAAUGUAUUAAACAGCUUCAAUAAAAGAGUGACCACAGUAAUG
ensembl:lncRNA